GAUGAAGAACGCAGCGAAAUGCGAUAAGUAAUGUGAAUUGCAGAAUUCAGUGAAUCAUCGAAUCUUUGAACGCACCUUGCGCCCUUUGGCUAUUCCGAAGGGCAUGCCUGUUUGAGUAUCAUGAACACCUCAACUCUCAUGGCUUGCCAUGAUGAGCUUGGACUUUUGGGGGUCUUGCUGGCCUGUGGUCAGCUCCUCUCAAAUGAAUUAGCCUGCCAGUGUUUGGUGGCAUCACAGGUGUGAUAACUAUCUACGCUUGUGGUUUUCCACCAGGUAAACUUCAGUGAUGAAGGUUCGCUGGGGCUCAUAAACGUCUCUCCUCAGUGAGGACAGCUCUUUGAACGUUUGAUCUCAAAUCAGGUAGGACUACCCGCUGAACUUAAGCAUAUCAAUAAGCGGAGGA
rnacentral:misc_RNA from 1 species